rnacentral:misc_RNA from 1 species
CUGGAAUCGCAAGAUCCCACAACCCCUGUGAACCUACCGAAACGUUGCCUCGGCGGGUGCCCGGCCCUGCGCCGGGCGCUGCGCCCGCCGGCGGCCCCCUACUCUUGUCUCUGCGGCGUGGCAUCUCAGAGUCCCAGAAAACAAGUCA